rnacentral:rRNA from 1 species
UGACGUCAAGUCCUCAUGGCCCUUAUGGUAGGGCUUCACACGUCAUACAAUGGUCGGUACAGAGGGUUGCCAAGCCGCGAGGUGGAGCCAAUCCCAGAAAGCCGAUCGUAGUCCGGAUUGUUCUCUGCAACUCGAGAGCAUGAAGUCGGAAUCGCUAGUAAUCGCGGAUCAGCAUGUCGCGGUGAAUACGUUCCCGGGUCUU